rnacentral:rRNA from 1 species
GACGAACGCUGGCGGCGUGCCUAAUACAUGCAAGUUGAGCGCUGAAGGUUGGUACUUGUACCAACUGGAUGAGCAGCGAACGGGUGAGUAACGCGUGGGGAAUCUGCCUUUGAGCGGGGGACAACAUUUGGAAACGAGUGCUAAUACCGCAUAAAAACUUUAAACACAAGUUUCACGUUUGAAAGAUGCAAUUGCAUCACUCAAAGAUGAUCCCGCGUUGUAUUAGCUAGUUGGUGAGGUAAAGGCUCACCAAGGCGAUGAUACAUAGCCGACCUGAGAGGGUGAUCGGCCACAUUGGGACUGAGACACGGCCCAAACUCCUACGGGAGGCAGCAGGAGGGAAUCUUCGGAAAUGGACGAAAGUCUGACCGAGCAACGCCGCGGGAGUGAAGAAGGUUUUCGGAUCGUAAAACUCUGUUGGUAGAGAAGAACGUUGGUGAGAGUGGAAAGCUCAGCAAGUGACGGUAACUACCCAGAAAGGGACGGCUAACUACGUG